rnacentral:tRNA from 1 species
GCCCUUGUAGUUUAAUGGAUAGAAUUCUCGCCUUCGAAGCGAGCGAUGGGGGUUCGAUUCCCUCCAGGGGCA